AUAAAACCGUUGAUGAGGAAGUAAAACCGCAAGACCAACUUCUUAGAGAGUCAGGGUAGGUGGGAGCCUGACAGGUAACGGAGCGGGUAAAUGGGCCUUUGAGGGCGGAGCGAAAAAGUACAAGAUGCUUAAGUAGCUACCGACGCAUAGCCAGCGUUAUUGGGCUAAGGGUGUGAUGGCACUCUGCACAAGAGGAUGCAUAUGUCGAAUUGAAAUGAUAUGCAUCAAUUAAGGUGGUACCGCAGGUUAUAAUGCCUGUCCUUAAA
rnacentral:ncRNA from 1 species